rnacentral:rRNA from 1 species
ACACUCCUACGGGAGGCAGCAGUGGGGAAUAUUGCACAAUGGGCGCAAGCCUGAUGCAGCGACGCCGCGUGGGGGAUGAAGGCCUUCGGGUUGUAAACUCCUUUCGCUAGGGACGAAGCUUUUUUGUGACGGUACCUAGAUAAGAAGCACCGGCUAACUACGUGCCAGCAGCCGCGGUAAUACGUAGGGUGCGAGCGUUGUCCGGAAUUACUGGGCGUAAAGGGCUCGUAGGUGGUUUGUCGCGUCGUCUGUGAAAUUCUGGGGCUUAACUCCGGGCGUGCAGGCGAUACGGGCAUAACUUGAGUGCUGUAGGGGUAACUGGAAUUCCUGGUGUAGCGGUGAAAUGCGCAGAUAUCAGGAGGAACACCGAUGGCGAAGGCAGGUUACUGGGCAGUUACUGACGCUGAGGAGCGAAAGCAUGGGUAGCGAACAGGAUUAGAAACCCGUGUAGUCCCAUGA